CCUACGGGAGGCAGCAGUGGGGAAUAUUGGGCAAUGGAGGAAACUCUGACCCAGCAAUGCCGCGUGAAUGAAGAAGGUCUUCGGAUUGUAAAGCUCUUUAUUCAGGGAAGAAGUCAAUGACGGUACCUGAAGAAUAAGCUCCGGCUAAAUACGUGCCAGCAACCGCUGUAAUACGUCGGGAGCAAGAGUUGGUCGGAAUGAAUGGUCGUAAAGGUUUCGUAGGUGGGUGUACAAGUUAGAUGUGAAAUACCCAGGGCUUAACUCGGGUGCUGCUUCUAAAACUGUAUGACUUGAGUGCAGUAGAGGGAAGUGGAAUUCCUGGUGUAGCGGUGGAAUGUGUAGAUAUCAGGAGGAACACCAGAGGCGAAGGCAGCUAACUGGACUGCAACUGACGCUGAGGCACGAAAGUGUGGGGAGCAAACAGGAUUAGAUACCCCGGUAGUC
rnacentral:rRNA from 1 species